GGGCGGUUAGCUCAGUUGGCAGAGCGUUUGCUUCACACGCAAGAGGUCAGAGGUUCAAGCCCUCUACCGCCCACCA
rnacentral:tRNA from 1 species